rnacentral:rRNA from 1 species
GAUAAACGCUAGCGGCGUGCCUUAUGCAUGCAAGUCGAACGGUUUGUUGAAAGAUAAACAGUGGCAAACGGCUGAGUAAUACGUAAGCAAUCUGUCCUAAAGUGGGGAAUAAUCCGCCGAAAGGUGGACUAAUACCGCAUGUGAUGAUGAGAUUAGUUUUUCAUCCUUAAAGCCUUCGGGCGCUUUAGGAGGGGCUUGCGUCCUAUCAGGUAGUUGGUGGGGUAACGGCCUACCAAGCCUAUGACGGGUAGCUGGUUUGAGAGGAUGUCCAGCCAGACGGGGACUGAGACACGGCCCCGACUCCUACGGGAGGCAGCAGCAAGGAAUUUUGCGCAAUGGGCGAAAGCCUGACGCAGCAACGCCGCGUGAGGGAUGAAGGCCUUCGGGUUGUAAACCUCUUUUGUCAGGGAAGAAUAAUGACGGUACCUGAUGAAUAAGUCACGGCUAACUACGUGCCAGCAGCCGCGGUAAUAC